GACGAACGCUGGCGGCGUGCCUAAUACAUGCAAGUUGAGCGAUGAAGAUUGGUGCUUGCACCAAUUUGAAGAGCAGCGAACGGGUGAGUAACGCGUGGGGAAUCUGCCUUUGAGCGGGGGACAACAUUUGGAAACGAAUGCUAAUACCGCAUAAUAACUUUAAACAUAAGUUUUAAGUUUGAAAGAUGCAAUUGCAUCACUCAAAGAUGAUCCCGCGUUGUAUUAGCUAGUUGGUGAGGUAAAGGCUCACCAAGGCGAUGAUACAUAGCCGACCUGAGAGGGUGAUCGGCCACAUUGGGACUGAGACACGGCCCAAACUCCUACGGGAGGCAGCAGUAGGGAAUCUUCGGCAAUGGACGAAAGUCUGACCGAGCAACGCCGCGGGAGGGAAGAAGGUUUUCGGAUCGUAAAACUCUGUUGGUAGAGAAGAACGUUGGUGAGAGCGGAAAGCUCAUCAAGUGACGGUAACUACCCAGAAAGGGACGGCUAACUACGUG
rnacentral:rRNA from 1 species